AUUAAAAUGCUCUGCCUAGCAACAGCUCCAAUGCCCUGUUAAACCGGUGGGAGCUGCUUGCUUGCUUACAUAUUUUUCUGUCUUGAACAGGAAGUCUUCAGUGACUCAAUUCAGAAGGAACACUGAGAAUUAGAGAAAUGAAACCUGGAUGCAAAAUUUGUAGGUAUUUACCUAAAAGUGAAGAAAAACACAAGACCUGUUUCAGCAGAACGGUAUAAGAACUAACUGAAGAGAUGAUUGAAUUUUAGUUCAUACGCAUGAAGCAAAUGAGCGAGGGGUGCUUGAGAGAAAUUGUGACUUCAGAGUGUGAGCCUGUAUCUGGACAUCUUUAUUACAAAUUUGUUCACUUAACAAAUUUUUACUGGGAACUUUCCUUGUGCCAGGAUUUCCUUGUGCUAGAGACAUGGAUUUUACCCAAGCCACCAAUUGCAUAAAGCCUCCCAAGCAAGAGCUGCAAGAACCCAGUCAUUUUCUAACUGCUUUCCUGUGAUUUCCAAUUAAGUGUCAGCACUUGAUGCUAAUCUGAUGCUUCACACCCAACCCGAAGCUCCAGAAUAUAAUGCUUCACAGCUGGUGAUGAUCAGGAACUAGAAGGAAAAACUAAAGGUUUAGCUACUUUUACAAGCAAUGAAGACUAUGAACCAUGAAGCAAAACUGCAAGCUGAUGGCUGGUCCCAGGAAAGCCACUUAAAGUAAAGUGUACAUAUCCAGUUUGAGAUGUGUAAUUCCCAAUUGCUGCAAAAUGUGUUCCUUUGCUGCCUAUCCCUGAUCUGAAAGCUCAUGCAAGGUCCUUCGCUUCUGGCAUUUGGAUGCAAAGCUAGUGACAUUGACCACUGGCUUGACAAGCAUGUCUCCCUCCCCCAAUGCAGAACUUGGAACUAUGAAGCUGUUCCUCCAGGCCAACUUCUCUGAAGUUGAGUCCUGAUCUCCAUGGUCAUCUGG